GUGGGCAGCCCCGGGGAGGGGAAGAAAAACACGGAGGAGCCCAAACAGAGAGCAAGGACGGUCCUCCGCGACCUCGGCUAGAGGAAAACGAGAGCCUCUGAAAGCCAAUGCAAGAGCAGCCAAGCCAAAUGAGCUCGGUCCCACUCACCCUGCAGACGAGAGUGUAAACGGUGCCCUGGGAUCUCCCUUUGCUUCCCGUGUUCUCCCUGGUGUUCUUCUGGAAGCCACGCUCAGGGGUCUGAAUGCAGAGGGUGACAGCUUCAUCUUGUUUCGUUCACUUUCGAUGCAUAAAGAGCUCUAGAGACUGUUUUCAAGGAGAAUCGACUCUCAGAUCUUCAUUCACACUGAGGUGUUGAUGACUGGUUACUGUCCAACACAGCUAUCCUCAUUAGAGUGUGAGAUGAAUUUUGAGAUGUUCUUCUAGGCUGGACAGAAGUUGCUGCAUGAGGAAGAAGAAUAUCUAUUUCUCCACCACCAUGGUUUGCCCUAAAGGAAGAAAACUCUGCAGCCCACCACGGGAAGCAGAGGAGUAGGUUUUAAGUACAAGGGAAGAAAACAGUCAUGAUUCUGUAUCUUUACACGUGGAUGAACAGCAGCUCACACUCUCCAAUCAGUAAGGAAUCUAUGAAAAUCUGAAUUUUCAUAGGGUCUGGUGAAAUGAAUUUAGCCGGGCUCAAGAUACACCACCCCCAAAUAUGGCACCUUGGAAUUCUGGCUAUUUUAAGCUGAAGAAAAAAGAAUGAAAAUAAAUACAAAGAGCAUCAGUGAGAUUUAGGACAACUUUGAGCAACCUGAUAUAUUUAUAGUUGCUCUCUCUGAAAGGGGGUGGGGGGGAAAUCUAUUUGAAGAAAUAAUGACAGAAAAACUUCUAAUUUGGUUAAACUAUAAACCCACAGAUCCAAAAAACUUAAUAAACCCCCAGUACAAGAAACAUGAAGAAAGCUACAUCUGCAAUGUUUCAAGUUGAGUAAAUAUGCAUUAUUUACCCUAUAUAUGUAAGGCUGGACAUAAA